rnacentral:rRNA from 1 species
AUUGAACGCUGGCGGCAAGCCUAACACAUGCAAGUCGAACGAGUGGCGGACGGGUGAGUAAUGUCUGGGAAACUGCCUGAUGGAGGGGGAUACCUACUGUACACGGUAGCUCAUACCGCAUACCAUCGGAUGUGCCCAGAUGGGAUUAGCUAGUAGGUGGGGUAAAGGCUCACCUAGGCGACAAUCCCUAGCUGGUCUGAGCGGAUGACCAGCAACACUGGAACUGAGACACGGGCCAGACUCCUACGGGAGGCAGCAGUGGGGAAUAUUGCACAAUGGGCGCAAGCCGGAUGCAGCCAUGCCGCGUGUAUGAAGAAGGCCUUCGGGUUGUAAAGUACUUGCAGCGGGGAGGCGUUACCCGCAGAAGAAGCACCGGCUAACUCCGUGCCAGCAGCCGCGGUAAUAC